rnacentral:misc_RNA from 1 species
GAUGAAGAACGUAGUGAAAUGCGAUAAGUAGUGUGAAUUGCAGAAUUCAGUGAAUCAUCGAAUCUUUGAACGCACAUUGCGGCCAUAGGUAUUCCUUUGGCCAUGCCUGUUCGAGCGUCAUUUACACCCUCAAGCCUAGCUUGGUGUUGGGCGCCUGUCCCGCCGUUUUCGCGCGCGGACUCGCCUCAAAGUCAUUGGCGGCGGUCGUGCCGGCCCCCUCGCGCAGCACAUUUGCGCUUCUCGGAGGCCCGGCGGAUCCGCGCUCCAGCAAGACCUUUCACGACUUGACCUCGGAUCAGGUAGGGAUACCCGCUGAACUUAAGCAUAUCAAUAAGCGGAGGA